AAGGAGAGGGAGAGAGAGAAGAGGAGAGGAACUAGCAUGGAGCCUUUGGGAACUCCUUCAAUUAGGAGGCAUAAUGUGGCUAAUGAGCAUAUGAUUGUUAUGACCCAGUUGUAACAUAUAAGCAAUGAGAACCUCAGCAAGUAUAUGAGGAGAGGAGAAAUUGGAGGAAGGCCUUAGGCACCUUGAGUGGUCCCCCUGUGGAGUUCACAUAUUGGGAGAAUUGUCCAUAUUCUUGCAGUGGAUAAGAAUUGCACAGGAUGGCUGGGUAUGGGAUGGUUGUAAUCUGAAUCCUAGAGGGUAUGCCUGAAUUGGUGAAAUCAUAGAUCCAUUUGAAUAUAUGUCAGGUGCUGGGUGAAGAGCUGGAGAUACAUUUGAUCACAGGAAACAACAUGUAUGCAUAUUAAAAAAAGAUAAAAUAGAUUUGUAAGAUAUGUACAUGCUUUGUAAUGCAACUUUUCCUCCCUUUAAAAACAAACAAAAAAUCCCCUAACCGCCAGGCUUGGCUGGAAGUCCCGGUUACAUAUAAAACUAAAAUCUGAGACAAUUUUUUUUUGGGGGGGGGGAGGGGGAAGAUGAGGAAUAAAACUUGUAAAAAAUUCCUGAAAAAUAUAAUUACAGAGAGAACCUCGUCCCAUGACGCUUUGAGCGUUAAUAUCGGGCUAGGUAAGAAACAAGGAGACAUUAUUCAUGGCGGGCAUCAUUCAGCACCGAAUCCCAGGUGCAGGUACCUGCUUCCCCAAGCCAUUUAAGAAACCAAAACAGAAAACAAGUUACCUAGGAGAAGAUAAACUACCGGAGACAUUGAAUACUCACUAAAUUGCAGAGCCUAGCAAUUAUUUAAUUAAAUUAACUAGUCUUCGACUAAGCCCAAUCCCCUUUAAGCAGCUCAGUUCAGAAGACGCUUUUGUUUAUGUCUGCCUAGGAAAGGCAUAUUCCAAAAGAGUAUUAAUUAAGCAAUUAGUAAAUCAAUAGAACAAAAUGUUUUAAGUGGGUUCACUUGCGCGAGGCCUUCCCCUCUGCCCCUGCACCGGCCCCCCAGGCCCGGCCGGCUGUGGGCGCGCCACUGCUCUCGUGAGCCCGUCUCGCGCCCGAGGCCCUCGCGGUCCCGCUGUGUCCCCGCGCAGCCCCAGUCUUCUCCACCGCGGAGCCUCAGGGAGAAAAGUUUCUUGUGGGGGCCAGUCUAGUGUCAGGAGCCCAGUGUGCCCAGCCUUCCAUCCGCCAGCCUGCCCUGCUCGACUGUCCCAGCACCUGAGUGAGUGGCCUCCUAAGCUCUCCCCCUUCUCCAGUCUGGUCUGCAGGCGUCUGGCCCAGCCUCCGGCUCGCUGUCCAGUUGCUACGGCAACGCAAGGCAGCGUGGUGGACAGCCCUGAGCCUGGAGCCAGGAAGACCUAAGUUCAACUCUGGCCUCAGAUACUUACCAGCUGAGUGACUCUGGGUAAGUCACUUUACCUUUGUUUGCCUUAGACUUCUCACCUAUAAAAUGAGGAUAAUAAUAAUAAUACCUACCUCACUGGGUUGUUGGUGAGGAUCAAAUGGG
rnacentral:lncRNA from 1 species